rnacentral:rRNA from 1 species
AACGAACGCUGGCGGCAUGCCUAACACAUGCAAGUCGAACGAGACCUUCGGUUCUAGUGGCGUACGGGUGCGUAACGCGUGGGAACCUGCCCUUAGGUUCGGAAUAACUCCCCGAAAGGGGUGCUAAUACCGGAUAAUGUCUUCGGACCAAAGAUUUAUCGCCUUUGGAUGUGCCCGCGUUGGAUUAGCUAGUUGGUAGGGUAAAAGCCUACCAAGGCGACGAUCCAUAGCUGGUCUGAGAGGAUGAUCAGCCACACUGGGACUGAGACACGGCCCAGACUCCUACGGGAGGCAGCAGUGGGGAAUAUUGGACAAUGGGCGAAAGCCUGAUCCAGCAAUGCCGCGUGAGUGAUGAAGGCCUUAGGGUUGUAAAGCUCUUUUACACGGGAUGAUAAUGACAGUACCGGGAGAAUAAGCACCGGCUAACUCCGUG